rnacentral:rRNA from 1 species
GCUUUCGAGUCGGAUUGCUUGAGAAUGCAGUCCAAAGUGGGUGGUAAACUCCAUCCAAGGCUAAAUACUGGCACGAGUCCGAUAGUAGACAAGUACCGUGAGGGAAAGUUGAAAAGUACUCUGAAGAGAGAGUAAACAGUACGUGAAGCCGGUUGCAGGGAAGCUGGUGGAGUCAAGCUUCAUGCUUGAAGGAUUUGUAUCAGCAGCAUUGGUUGUAUGGAUGCGAUAGUGAUCAACUUGAAAUAAGUUGGGCGCAUUCGUGUGCUUCAAGUCAUUCCGGGUUGUGUGUUUGAUAUCACUAUCGCUUUUCAGCUGCUGGUACUCUAUCCUUCGUUGCAUAAAUCAUGGUCGAUAGCAUUGUUUGCGUGUUACGUGAUUGUCUAACUGUACUUUGGCAGGCAUUUGUUUGUCGGGUGCAGGAUGGCAGGUUGCGGCUACAGAUCCUUGUGUUCUGUUUGUCGCUUAUAGUGGUUUCGACCAGCUGAUGAUCAUGUAAUAUCGCUGCUAUUGUUUUUGAUUAGUGCUCAGUCCUAGGACUCUGUGCUGGUUAGAACCAUGAUUCUGAGGUAGAUUUUCCACCCGACCCGUCUUGAAACACGGACCAAGGAGUUUAACAUGCGCGCAAGUCACUGGGCUUAUUAUGAAACCCAAAGGCGCAAUGAAAGUGAAAGGCUUUCAGUCCU